UACGUAGGGUGCAAGCGUUAAUCGGAAUUACUGGGCGUAAAGCGUGCGCAGGCGGUUCUAUAAGACAGAUGUGAAAUCCCCGGGCUCAACCCGUGGGAACUGGCAUUUGUGACUGUAGAGCUGGAGUACGGCAGAGGGGGAUGGAAUUCCGCGUGUAGCAGUGAAAUGCGUAGAUAUGCGGAGGAACACCGAUGGCGAAGGCAAUCCCCUGGGCCUGUACUGACGCUCAUGCACGAAAGCGUGGGGAGCAAACAGG
rnacentral:rRNA from 1 species